UCUACACCAAAAAAAAAUCGGUCUGGUUUCCAGUUUACACCUAGUUGAGUAGAAUGAUAUAAAUAGACUUUAAAUAGCUAGCUAAAGGCAGAUUUUCAUCUCUAUGUUUUCUAUGUUACCUGGUGUUACCAAGAGAAAAGGGGCUAAUGCAUGAAGAGCAGUAACCUUUUCAGUAUUUUUCUGACCAGUAUGUCAAAAUGCCUAACAUUCAUCCAAGUAGCAUCACAACAAAUGAAAUGAACUGCAGCACAUCAACAGGCAUUGCAAAAAUAAAGAAAUACAUUUAAUAUUUCAGUGUUUUAUUAUGAGACAGGAAUUUCAUGGCAUGAAAAAUGCCUUCUAAAGAGUCAUCAGGUCAGUUCAGGACCCCGAUUUCUGUAUUUUAGUGACAGAAUCAAUCAGAAAGAAGAAGUGGCACUGGUUUUUGUUGCCGUGGAAACCUGUGUUGCCAAACAACAGGCUGGGGUAACAGAAACCUUGACACAGCAUUGGUAGAUACAGCACUGUAGCAAUGGAAGACCUGUACCAUGUUGAUCCAGCUGGAUGCUAAAGGAUACCUAAGGAAACCUAAGGAUAACUAAAAUGAAUUCAGACAUAAUGAUAUUGGACACUAAAGGAUUUCCACCACCAGCAACAACUGGAAAGAAGUUCAGCUGAUCAGUAGUAGAUGUAUCCUUUCAAGUGAACAAAAUAACUCACUUUGCUUCCACAAUGUCAUACAACAGUUCUCUGACAACUGGCAAAAAGAAUAAGGCAAUAUAAUUCAAGACAAGCUAUAAAGAAAAUUAUAAUGUUCAAGGGUUAAACUUUUCAUUAGUUUUUGUUGUGAACAAUUUUAUCCAAAUGUGUUUGGUGACAGUGUUUAGAAAGGAGGUGAAGGAACCCUUCACAGUAAAUUACAAAAGCAGAGUGUUAAUGGCUUAGCUGGGGUCUAUUUUCCAGAACAGCAACACAACCAACUGAUGCUGAAAUCUGUGAGUGUGCAAGCACUGUGUAUGCUAGGAACUGACCCUAAAGAACUGUCAUGUCCUCUAUUUCUACUGUUUUGUUUGUGGAAGACUUGAUUUAUAUUUGGUUGAAAGUCACAAAUAAGUGAGUCAUACUUGGUGUACAUUUAUUAAAACUUGUUCUGUUAUUUCCUUUUAUUUCAUUAACUGUGUGAAUUUUAUUUUACAUGGAUGUACUACAGUUCCAGUAAUGCACUUUAACUGUGCAUUACUACAAAAACUGUUUUUUGUCGGAACCUGGUGAAGAACAAGCUGGGAUAGUUUACUGUUUUCAAUGUGCCCUCAGGUGAAUUCCAUUUUCUUAUUUUACUUUCUGUGUUCGGCAAUACCUGGGUCAUUUCUUUUUCUUCCAGCAACCUUUGCACCUCAGCUGAUGUAGACUGGCAGAGAUCUGUUGAUUUCUUUGGCAUUGUAUUAAUUUACAUAAGCUUAGAGUAGCUCCAGAGUUGUAGGAAGUGACUUUAUAGAACCAGAUACCUUCAGUGU
rnacentral:lncRNA from 1 species